UCCGUAGGCGGGCAGCUAAGUCAGUGGUGAAAGUCUGCAGCUCAACUGUAGAAUUGCCAUUGAUACUGGUUGUCUUGAAUUAUUAUGAAGUGGUUAGAAUAUGUAGUGUAGAGGUGAGAUGCAUAGAUAUUACAUAGAAUACCAAUUGCGAAGGCAGAUCACUAAUAAUAUAUUGACGCUGAUGGACGAAAGCGUGGGGAGCGAACAGGAUUAGAUACCCUGGUAGUCC
rnacentral:rRNA from 1 species